rnacentral:rRNA from 1 species
CCUACGGGUGGCAGCAGUGAGGAAUAUUGGUCAAUGGACGAGAGUCUGAACCAGCCAAGUCGCGUGAAGGAUGACUGCUCUAUGGGUUGUAAACUUCUUUUAUAUGGGAAUAAAAUGUUCCACGUGUGGGAUUUUGUAUGUACCGUAUGAAUAAGGAUCGGCUAACUCCGUGCCAGCAGCCGCGGUAAUACGGAGGAUCCGAGCGUUAUCCGGAUUUAUUGGGUUUAAAGGGAGCGUAGGUGGGUUGUUAAGUCAGUCGUGAAAGUUUGGGGCUCAACCGUAAAAGUGCAGUUGAAACUGGCAGUCUUGAGAAGAGGAGAGGUGGGCGGAAUGCGUGGUGUAGCGGUGAAAUGCUUAGAUAUUACGAAGAACUCCGAUUGCGAAGGCAGCUCACUGGCCUGCAACUGACACUGAGGCACGAAAGUGUGGGUAUCGAACAGGAUUAGAUACCCUAGUAGUC